ACUCCUACGGGAGGCAGCAGUGGGGAAUUUUGGACAAUGGGCGAAAGCCUGAUCCAGCAAUGCCGCGUGAGUGAAGAAGGCCUUCGGGUUGUAAAGCUCUUUUGUCAGGGAAGAAACGGUGAAAGCUAAUAUCUUUUGCUAAUGACGGUACCUGAAGAAUAAGCACCGGCUAACUACGUGCCAGCAGCCGCGGUAAUACGUAGGGUGCAAGCGUUAAUCGGAAUUACUGGGCGUAAAGCGUGCGCAGGCGGUUUUGUAAGUCUGAUGUGAAAUCCCCGGGCUCAACCUGGGAAUUGCAUUGGAGACUGCAAGGCUAGAAUCUGGCAGAGGGGGGUAGAAUUCCACGUGUAGCAGUGAAAUGCGUAGAUAUGUGGAGGAACACCGAUGGCGAAGGCAGCCCCCUGGGUCAAGAUUGACGCUCAUGCACGAAAGCGUGGGGAGCAAACAGGAUUAGAAACCCCGGUAGUCCC
rnacentral:rRNA from 1 species